AAGUCGUAACAAGGUUUCCGUAGGUGAACCUGCGGAAGGAUCAUUAAAAAAAUGAGGUAUUUUAUACCUCUUGUAUUUAAAACCCAACUCUUUAAAAUAUUUUUUUUUUAAAAAAAAACUUUCAACAAUGGAUCUCUUGGCUCUC
rnacentral:misc_RNA from 1 species